AUAUGUGCGGUGAUCGCGCUGUCGCUUGACGACAGUGAGGAAAGUCCACGCUCGCCUGAGCUGAGAUGCUCAGAGUUCGGAUGCCUGAUGAAUAAAUAAGUCAGGGCAGCCUGCAAGGGCUGACGGCGGGGAACUCAGCUACGUCCUUCGGGAUAUGCUGCUACUACCCUGAAAGUGCCACAGUGACGAAUCUCCUUGGAAACGAGGAGGGUGGAACGAGGUAAACCCCAUCUGCGAGAAACCCAAACUAUGGUCGGGGAACUGCCCGGAGGGAACUAGAAACUCUGAACUGAAGGGCGGAUCGACAAUCGUCGAUAGAUAGAUGGUUACCACUCGUAGUGCGAGGUCUAAUCAGCCGUUUGGAGCACAGAGUAACAAAACGUGGCUUACAACA
rnacentral:RNase_P_RNA from 1 species